UACGGGGGGAGCAAGCGUUGUUCGGAUUUACUGGGCGUUAAAGGGCGCGUAGGCGGUCGUGACAAGUCACUUGUGAAAUCUCCGGGCUUAACUCGGAACGGUCAAGUGAUACUGUCGGACUAGAGUACAGAAGGGGCAACUGGAAUUCUCGGUGUAGCGGUGAAAAUGCGUAGAUAUCGAGAGGAACACCUGCGGCGAAGGCGGGUUGCUGGGCUGAUACUGACGCUGAGGCGCGAAAGCCAGGGGAGCGAACGGG
rnacentral:rRNA from 1 species